rnacentral:rRNA from 1 species
GACGAACGCUGGCGGCGUGCUUAACACAUGCAAGUCGGACGGAAAGGCCCUGCUUUUGUGGGGUGCUCGAGUGGCGAACGGGUGAGUAACACGUGAGUAACCUGCCCUUGACUUUGGGAUAACUUCAGGAAACUGGGGCUAAUACCGGAUAGGAGCUCCUGCUGCAUGGUGGGGGUUGGAAAGUUUCGGCGGUUGGGGAUGGACUCGCGGCUUAUCAGCUUGUUGGUGGGGUAGUGGCUUACCAAGGCUUUGACGGGUAGCCGGCCUGAGAGGGUGACCGGCCACAUUGGGACUGAGAUACGGCCCAGACUCCUACGGGAGGCAGCAGUGGGGAAUAUUGCACAAUGGGCGGAAGCCUGAUGCAGCAACGCCGCGUGCGGGAUGACGGCCUUCGGGUUGUAAACCGCUUUCGCCUGUGACGAAGCGUGAGUGACGGUAAUGGGUAAAGAAACACCGGCUAACUACGU